rnacentral:rRNA from 1 species
ACAGCAGCCGCCGCGGUAACACGGAGGGUGCAAGCGUUAAUCGGAAUUACUGGGCGUAAAGCGCACGCAGGCGGUCUGACAAGUCAGAUGUGAAAUCCCCGGGCUUAACCUGGGAACUGCAUUUGAAACUGUCAGGCUGGAGUCUUGUAGAGGGGGGUGGAAUUCCAGGUGUAGCGGUGAAAUGCGUAGAGAUCUGGAGGAAUACCGGUGGCGAAGGCGGCCCCCUGGACAAAGACUGACGCUCAGGUGCGAAAGCGUGGGGAGCAAACAGGAUUAGAUACCCCUGUAGUCCCUGUCUCUUAUAC